rnacentral:rRNA from 1 species
AGGAAAGGAGAGAAGGGCACAUGAAGGAUGCCUUGGCUCUCGGAGGCGAAGAAGGACGUGAUAAGCUGCGAUAAGCCGCGUGUAGAGGCAAAUACUCAUUGAUACGCGGAUUUCCGAAUGGGGCAACCCACCGUUAGCGAUAACGGUACCUCACCGAGUGAGGGGCGAACCCGGGGAACUGAAACAUCUCAUUACCCGGAGGAGAAGAAAACAAAAGUGAUUGCGCAAGUAGUGGCGAGCGAACGCGCAGGAGCCCAAACCGAGGAUGUAGCAAUGCAUCACUCGGGGUUGUAGGACCGUCGACGCGCCGACAGCGAAUGUUAGGGGAAGCUUCUGGAAAGGAGCGCCAUAGGAGGUGAAAGCCCUGUACCCGAAAACAUGAACUGAAGGCAAGACGGCACCUGAGUAAGCCGGGACACGAGAAAUCCUGGCCGAACCCGCGGGGACCAUCCCGUAAGGCUAAAUACUACCGAGAGACCGAUAGCGAACCAGUACCGUGAGGGAAAGGUGAAA